GUGNGGGUAACGGCCCCACCAAGGCGACGAUGCGUAGGGGUUCUGAGAGGAAGGUCCCCCCACACUGGUACUGAGACACGGACCAGACUCCUACGGAAGGCAGCAG
rnacentral:rRNA from 1 species